rnacentral:lncRNA from 1 species
UUGGAGAGGAGGGCGUGGCAUCCGGCAUUUGGCGGGGCUUUUGUCUCUCGCUGCAGCCAGAGCUUGGGAUCGCUUUCUGCUAUUCAACGUCCUCCACCUCUGCCCCCCUCUCGCCCCAGCCGGUGACAGGCUGUUGCCCUGUGAUCUGCAGGUCCUGGGACGUGCACAGACAGCUAAGAUGCCAGGACAUUCCAGAAGGUGGGAAAGGAGGAGGAGACUGUAACGUAUCCCUAAUUGAGCACCCAGGUGGUGUGACACUUCUGCCCUGUCCCUGCCCUCAGAGGAGAUUCUGACAUAUCACUGCCCCAAAAUGCAGAGCACCUGAGUAAUUUGACUCUCCUGCCUGGACCCAGCGUACAGAUGGGAUUGUGCUUCAUUGCUGGACCCAGCAUUUAGGCCCACUACCUAUGAGAUUGCAUGCUCCUGCCUGGGCUGUGCCCACAGUGACCUUGUGACAUAUAUCUGCAUCCAUGACCUAAAAGAUGUGACACUUCUUGCCUGCAACCUGCCCUGCACAGGAAAGAUUGCGACUUCUCCCUGGAAGCAGACACCAGGUGAUGUGGCUCUCCUGCCUCUGUCUUGCCCCCAGGGAGCAUUGUGACAGGAUCGUCACUCCCGUGGAUGAUCAAAGGUCAGUUCCUGGUCAAUAUAAGUAAACAAGCCUGUUUAAGAGUUCUGCUAGCAAGGAAGACUGAGACAUAUUGUGGGGCUCUACGCCAAUGUGACAUUACUGUUCUGCCUUGGCCUGUACCUGAAAAGGCAUUGUGACAUAUUGCUGGGCCCAGCAACAAGGUGGCAUGAGUCUUCCGUAUGGACCCUGACAACAGAGCAUUGUGACAUAUCUUUAAGAGCAUCAACUAUUUGAUGUGACUCUCCUUUUCUACCAAGGCUUUCCUCAUAUGAGAGAUUGUGACACAUCUUCUGGCACAGAAAUCAAGUGAUGUGUUUCUCCUGCCUGAGCUUUGCUCAUAGAAAGCAUUGUGACAUAUCUCUGGUCUCAGCACCCAGAGGUGUGAUUUUGACGCACACUUCUGCCCAGCACCUGAGUAAUGUGAUUCUUCAGAAUUGGCCCGGCCCACAAAUAGGAUUGUGCCACACUGCUGGACCCAGUGCCUAAGUGAUGUAACUCUAUUCUUCUGCCUUGGUGCUACUCGAAAAAGACAUUGUAACAUAUCUCAGAGCCUUACACCCAGGUAAUGUGAGUCUCCUCUUCUGCCUUGCUGCUGCACACAGAAGCGGAAUAUGUACAGGAUUGUUAAUCUCAUCUUGGAUCUUCCUGCACUUGUGAUUGUGACACAUGCCUCUGUGUAGAACCUGAGUGAGUUUACUCUCCUGCCUGGAUUUAACCCAUAGAUGGAAUCGUGACAUAUCACUGUACCAGAAACUAGGUGAUGUGACUCUAUUUUCUUGCCUCUGUGUUUUUAUAUGGGGCAUCGUGACAUAUCACUGGGCCUUGCACCCAAGUGAUGGGAGUUUUCUCUCCUGCUUUGGUGCCGUCCACAAUGAAAAUUGUGAAAUAUUGCUGCCCUCCCCACUAGGUUAUGUUACUCUCCUGCCUCUGCUUUGCCCACAUGGGUCACUGUGACAUAUUGCUGGGUCUAAAACCCAGGUAAUGUCACUCUCUUGUUUGGGUUCUGCCUGCAGGAGUCAUUGUCACAUAUCUCUAUGCUCAUCACCCAGGUAAUAUGAUUCCCUUUUACUGCUUAGUUCCUUCUCACAAAACAACUUGUGACAUAUUGCUAGGCCCAAUACACCUAGCUGGUGUAACUCUUCUUUUCUUUUCUUUCCUUUUUUUUUUUUUUUUUUUGAGAUGGAGUCUCACUCUGUUGCCCAGGCUGGAGUGCAGCGGCAUGAUUUCAGCUCACUACAGCCUCUGCCUCCUAGGUUGAAGCGAUUGUCCUGACUUGGCCUCCCAAGUAGCUGGGAUUAAAGGCAUGUGCCACCACGCCCGGCUAAUUUUUGUAUUUAUAGUAGAGACAGGGUUUCGCCAUGUUGGCUAGGCUGGUUUCGAACUUCUAACCUCAGGUGAUCCUCCUGCCUCGGCCUCCCAAAGUACUGGAAUUACAGGCAUGAGCCACUGCACCUGGCCUGAUUCUUCUCUUCUUUCUAGGUUUCAACUGCAGCAGAGAUUGUAACAAACCACUGGGCCCAGCCGCAUAAUGAUGUUACUCUUUUGCCUUGGGCCUGCCCUCAGAAGGCACUGUCACAUAUUCAUGGGCCCAACGCCAAGGUGAUAUGUGUCUCCAGCCUGGACCCUGCCCACAGGGGGCAUUGUGACAUAUCUCUUGGCCCAUCAGAUGUUUGAUUGUUAUCCCCUCCCCUCUUCUACCCUGUGUUUGCCUAUAAAAGACACAGUCAUAUGUUCCUGGGCCCAGCACCUAGGUGUUGUCUUACUGGAAUGUGUCCACAUGGGGAUUGUGAUAUGUCACGUGGCCCAGUACUUAACUUGAUGUGACUCUCCUCUCAUGCCUAGGCCUUGUAGAGAAUCCCCUUCCCCUUUUGUUUUCCUUUUUUUCUUUGCAGAUCCAGGAGAUAAUCAACUAAGAGCCAGGCACCCGUUUAGGUCUAAUAAACAUUUUACAAACUGCUCUCUCUUUUAAUUCACCUAUCUGAGAGAUUCCUCUGUACAAUAAAACUUGGUCUCCACAAUCCUUUACCUUAACCUAAACCUUCCCUUUCAUUGAUCCCAGGUCUUCAGAUUCCACCACUUGUCAACCACAAAAUAUUUAAAUUUACCUGGAAGCCGCCCGCUUUGAGUUGUCCCGCCUUUCUGAACCAAACCAAUAUAUUCCUGCAAAACCGGCCAUGAUUAAAACAUCAAAAAAUAAUACAUGUUGGCGUGGCUGUGGUGAAAAAAGAAUACUUUUUCACUGCUGGUGGGUAUGUAAACUAGUACAACCACUAUGAAAAACAGUAUGGAGAUUCAUUAAAUAAAAGUAAAGCUACCAUUUGAUUAAGCAAUUCUACUACUGUGUAUCUACAUGAAGAAAAAGAAAUUAUAUGUGUAAGACACUUGCACACACAUGUUUAUAGCAGCACAAUUUGCAAUUGCAAAAAUAUGGAAGCAGC